rnacentral:lncRNA from 1 species
ACUGGGAAGAAUUGAAGGCAGGAGGAGAAGGGGAUGACAGAGGAUGAGAUGGUUGGAUGGCAUCACCGACUCAAUGGACAUGAGUUUGAGCAAACUCCAGGAGAUUGUGAAGGACAGGGAAGCCUGGCGGGCUGCAGUCCACAGGGUUGCAGAGUCGGACACGACUGAGCGACUGAAUGACAACAGCAGCAACAUUUAACUUCCAGUUGCCCGAUGUCACGAGCACCAUUUCAAGUGCCUAAAGUCUCCACGUGAUCCAUGGCAAACCAUGUUGGAUGGCACAGAUGUAGAACCACCCCUUUGUUGCAGAAAGUCCUACCGGGCCAGACUGACCUAGAGGACAUGAUCUCUGUUCCUAGCUUGGCUUGGGAAAGCAUUUAGACCCCCCCCCCCCCAAAAAAAAAGAAAAAGAAAUAAAGAAAACCCAGCUCUUCUUUACAAACAGGCCGUCCCUCGCAAUGUGGGAAUGUCAGGGCCUCUCGGUGAAGUGAGCAAGAGAGAAGAGAAACAAGAUGCAGCUGAGGUGGGGACGCUGUGUUUUCUCCGAUAUUACUAAGCAACCGUGUCCUAAAAUCUCCGGAGCCAGCGACAGAACUUUGUUUACCAGGAAGAAAGCACUUGAAAAGGAGAAUAUUUGGCGGAAAUGCGCUUUGGGAUUAGCAGAGAGCUGGGAGUGGGGAGGAACGCUGACUGCACCUCGUGAGGACUGUGUGCAUACAGCCACAAGGAGGGGAGAGGAAUGGAAUCUCAAACUCGUUUCCAGCUCCGUCAAGUCCCCAGUCCAUUUCCUGCCAUCGCUAGGACUUCUCACUUUCUUUACGCCCCACCCUAACCUCUGCUUGUCGUUCAGUUGCUUAGUCAGCCCCAUGGACUGCGGCACAACAGGCUUCCCCGUCCUUCACUAUCUCCCGGAGUUUGGUCAGACUCAAGUCCGUUGGGUCGGUGAUGCCAUUCAACCAUCUCAUGCUCUGUCGGCCCCUUCUCCUCCUGCCCUCUGCAUGAAGGGCUAAAGUGAAUGGUGCAGAAAGUCCAGCAUGGGAGGGGACCAAGUGAUGCAGAAGAGGGGUCGCCCGUCCGCAGUGGAUAAACAGGCCCCUGAAUUGUGACCCCUAGCUGAAUGCUUCUGAAUAAAAGUUUCAGGACCACUUGAUCGGCUAAUGUG